GCCUGCCUACGGGGCGCAGCAGUGGGGAAUAUUGCACAAUGGGGGAAACCCUGAUGCAGCGACGCCGCGUGAGUGGAGAAGUAUUUCGGUAUGUAAAGCUCUAUCGGCAGGGAAGAUAAUGACGGUACCUGAGUAAGAAGCCCCGGCUAACUACGUGCCAGCAGCCGCGGGGAUACGUAGGGGGGAAGCGUUAUCCGGAUUUACUUGGUGUAAAGGGAGCGUAGACGGCAUGGCAAGGCUG
rnacentral:rRNA from 1 species